AAAACCAACACUCUUAUGUACAUCUAUAAUGACUCAGUCAUACAUGUACAUAUACAAACCAUGCUAAAAAGGUUGGUUUCUACUCAAUUAGAUUCUACAACAAUAGUCAUCAGGAUCAUACUCUGGAUCAUCCUCGGGGUUCUCCUUCAGAUACUCCUCUUCGAGUUCUUUCUCCUCAGGUUCUUCAUUAGGGCCCUGAAAUGUUUCCCCAAACCGGGAUGAGACUACGUCUCAGCAAGUUCUACCCCCUAAGACCCGAUUAG
rnacentral:lncRNA from 1 species